rnacentral:rRNA from 1 species
GAUGAACGCUGGCGGCGUGCCUAAUACAUGCAAGUCGAGCGAACGGACGAGACGCUUGCUUUUCUGAUGUUAGCGGCGGACGGGAGAGUAACACGUGGAUAACCUACCUAUAAGACUGGGAUAACUUCGGGAAACCGGAGCUAAUACCGGAUAAUAUUUUGCACCGCAUGGUUCAAAAGUGAAAGACGGUCUUGCUGUCACUUAUAGAUGGAUCCGCGCUGCAUUAGCUAGUUGGUAAGGUAACGGCUUACCAAGGCAACGAUGCAUAGCCGACCUGAGAGGGUGAUCGGCCACACUGGAACUGAGACACGGUCCAGACUCCUACGGGAGGCAGCAGUAGGGAAUCGUCCGCAGUGGGCGAAAGCCUGACGGAGCAACGGCGCGUGAGUGAUGAAGGUCUUCGGAGCGUAAAACUCUGUUAUUAGGGAAGAACAUAUGUGUAAGUAACUGUGCACAGCUUGACGGUACCUAAUCAGAAAGCCACGGCUAACUACGUG